CAGCCGCCACGGGAAUACGGAGGGGGCUAGCGUUGUUCGGAACUACUGGGCGUAAAGCGCACGUAGGCGGCUUGGUAAGUUAGAGGUGAAAGCCUGGAGCUCAACUCCAGAAUUGCCUUUAAGACUGCCGAGCUAGCAGGUGAGAGAGGUAAGUGGAAUUCCGAGUGUAGAGGUGAAAUUCGUAGAUAUUCGGAAGAACACCAGUGGCGAAGGCGGCUUACUGGCUCAUACUGGACGCUGAGGUGCGAAAGCGUGGGGAGCAAACAGGAUUAGAUACCCCUGUAGUCCCUGUCUCUUAUAC
rnacentral:rRNA from 1 species